UACGUAGGGGGCUAGCGUUGUCCGGAUUUAUUGGGCGUAAAGAGCGUGUAGGCGGCCAGGUAGGUCUGCUGUGAAAACUCGAGGCUCAACCUCGAGACGUCGGCGGAAACCAUCUGGCUAGAGUCCGGAAGAGGAGAGUGGAAUUCCUGGUGUAGCCGGUGAAAUGCGCAGAGUAUCAGGAAGAACACCCGUGGCGAAGGCGGCUCUCUGGGACGGUACUGACGCUGAGGAGCGAAAGCGUGGGGAGCGAACAGG
rnacentral:rRNA from 1 species